UCCUCGUUAGUAUAGUGGUCAGUAUCCCCGCCUGUCAGGGCGGGACCGGGGUUCAAUUCCCCGACGGGGAG
rnacentral:tRNA from 1 species